UAAGGAAUAUUGGACAAUGGUCGCAAGACUGAUCCAGCCAUGCCGCGUGCAGGAAGACGGCCCUAUGGGUUGUAAACUGCUUUUGUACCAGAGAAAACCUAUCUACGUGUAGAUAGCUGAUAGUAUGGUAAGAAUAAGCAUCGGCUAACUUCGUGCCAGCAGCCGCGGUAAGACGAAGGAUGCAAGCGUUAUCCGGAUUCAUUGGGUUUAAAGGGUGCGUAGGCGGGCUUGUAAGUCAGUGGUGAAAUCUCUCAGCUUAACUGAGAAACUGCCAUUGAUACCGCAGGCCUAGAGUAUAGAUGACGUUGGCGGAAUAUGACAUGUAGUGGUGAAAUACUUAGAUAUGUCAUAGAACACCGAUUGCGAAGGCAGCUAACGAAACUAUAACUGACGCUGAGGCACGAAAGUGCGGGGAUCAAACA
rnacentral:rRNA from 1 species